GAUGAAGAACGCAGCGAAAUGCGAUACGUAAUGUGAAUUGCAAAUUCAGUGAAUCAUCGAGUCUUUGAACGCAAAUUGCGCCCCCUGGUAUUCCGGGGGGCAUGCCUGUCCGAGCGUCAUUGCUGCCCUCAAGCACGGCUUGUGUGUUGGGCCCCGUCCUCCGAUCCCGGGGGACGGGCCCGAAAGGCAGCGGCGGCACCGCGUCCGGUCCUCGAGCGUAUGGGGCUUUGUCACCCGCUCUGUAGGCCCGGCCGGCGCUUGCCGAUCAACCCAAAUUUUUAUCCAGGUUGACCUCGGAUCAGGUAGGGAUACCCGCUGAACUUAAGCAUAUCAAUAAGCGGAGGA
rnacentral:misc_RNA from 1 species